rnacentral:misc_RNA from 1 species
GUGUUUCUUCCUUAAAAAGCUGUAUCCCCAUUGGUGAUGGAGAUUGUAACUGAAUGUUGCUCAGGGAUGGAGAUGCCCAUGGGGGGCGUGCUUGCAUGUAAGAUUUGGCUAUGUCCGCAGGUGAACCCACUUCAUCUUCUGUAACUUGUGGCAACAUAGCAGUAUUCAGAGUACAGGUUCCACACUCCAAUUCUGACUUUGAAUUUGACACCAAUUUCUUCUCCUCUAUCCAUUUUUUAGCCACUGAAAUGGCCCUGAAACCUGUCGAGUCAGGUAUCUCA